GUCCACAGUAAGUUGCAUCAUUCAGAUCCUCUGCAGGCCAUGGAAAGGCCAAAAAAAUGCAGCUGCUCUCUCACUAUCUGACAUAUGGAUGAAGACCAAGGCCUCUUCUUUGUGGAGCCACAGUCUGGCAGUAGGACACCCUCAGCAUCAAAGUUGCCUUGAUGUUCUCAUUUCCUUCAGGCCACAGAGGUUAGGACAAAAUGCGAGGAUGGGCACAACGUUGUAACCCACAGAAAGAAAGCCAGCGACAUAAUAACUGUGAGAAUGUG